rnacentral:lncRNA from 1 species
UGGCCAAUGGAAUACGGGCGGAAGUGGAAAUGCACCAUUUCCCAGCCUAGACCGUAAGAGGCAUCGCAUAUUUGUGCUCAGCUCUCUGGGAGCCCUGACCCCUCUCUGGGAAGAGCAUGCCCCGGCAAGCCCCUGUCCCCUCCAGCCUAGGCCCCAGAAUGAGACAUGUGGAGCAGAGCCACCUCACAGACCCCUGACCUGUGAACAGUGCACCAUCUGCUAGACUACAGCAAAGGGACCUCCAGCUGCACAGACGAAGGCGCUUCGUGUAACACUCAGGCUCCUGCUUAAAGAGAAGAGCAGUGUGUGAGGUCUCAUUGUCUGAACUUGAAUCCUGGCUUCACUAAUGAGUAGCUGUUUAACCUCAGGCAAACUGUGAAAUAUCUCUGAGCUUCAGUUUCCCGAUACCUGAAAUGGGGAUAAGAAUGCAUGUGUUAUAAUGUGGCCAUAAAAUGACAAAAGAAAUGUGGCAGGCCCAAUAUGGUGCCUGGCAUGUUGCAGGAGCUCUGAAAAUGCCAACUUGUCUCCCAUCCCUUCAACUGACUCAGAAGAACACCUGCUCUAGAGGCAGAGCAGCACGGAGUUCAACUCUUGGCUCUGCCACUUACUUGCUGUGACUUUGGGCAGAUGGUUCCAUCUCCCUUCGUUCUAUCAUAUAUAAAACGAAGGUGCUAGUACUACUUCUUGGUGUUGUUCUGAAGGAUUUAAGAGUGAUGAGCAUGGGGGGCUGCAAUACAGGUGCUCGAUCCACUGUUCUUACCACAUUAAUUGACGAUAAAACACUCAGGCCAAGUGAAGCUCAAAGAGAAGAUUGACAAAGAUCUUUGUAUGGGAUUUUGAACAGAACCUGCCUUAAAAGCAGGACUGACAUCAACAGGGGUUUGGACCAAGGGCUCUGGAUCUUGGGAGCCUGAUGAUCAGCUGAAAGGAGUAGUGUGAAAUGAUAAGAGAGCUCCUGCUUAAACAAGAAAUUGCAUGAACCCUAAUUUGGAAAAAUGUUAGUGGGAAGUCUUAUGUAUUUAUAUGCACUUCGGAAAGAUUUAUGCCAGUCUUAAUGGCUGGAGAUGUCCUUCAAAUUUUCCAUCCGCCUUGCAAUAGGUCUAAUGUGAUAACAAACAGGAAAUCGACUGGGCUAAGGGACAUGCAGUUCUGUUUUGA